rnacentral:rRNA from 1 species
GAUGAACGCUGGCGGCGUGCCUAAUACAUGCAAGUCGAGCGAACAGACGAGGCGCUUGCCCCUCUUACGUUAGCGGCGGACGGGUGAGUACCACGUGGAUAACCUACCUAUAAGACUGAGAUAACUUCGCGAAACCGGAGCUAAUACCGGAUAAUAUAUUGAACCGCAUGGUUCAAUAGUGAAAGACGGUUUUGCUGUCACUUAUAGGUGGAUCCGCGCCGCAUUAGCUAGUUGGUAAGGUAACGGCCUACCAAGGCAACGAUGCGUAGCCGACCUGAGAGGGUGAUCGGCCACACUGGAACUGAGACACGGUCCAGACUCCUACGGGAGGCAGCAGUAGGGAAUCUUCCGCAAUGGGCGAAAGCCUGACGGAGCAACGCCGCGUGAGUGAUGAAGGUCUUCGGAUCGUAAAACUCUGUUAUUAGGGAAGAACAAAUGUGUAAGUAACUAUGCACGUCUUGACGGUACCUAAUGAGAAAGCCACGGCUAACUACGUG